rnacentral:tRNA from 1 species
GGCUCUGUAGUGAAGUUCAUGCUGAGUUGCAAGCUCGGUGAUGUGUAUUAAAUAUACGCCAGAGUCU